GGGGUUGUAGCUCAGUGGCAGAGUACUUACCUAGCACAUGUGAGGUACUGAGUUCGACCCUCAGCACCACA
rnacentral:tRNA from 1 species